AGAAUCAACGCUGGCGGCGUGCCUAACACAUGCAAGUCGCACGAGAAAGUGGAGCAAUCCACGAGUAAAGUGGCGCACGGGUGAGUAACACGUGAAUAAUCUACCUCCGAGUGGGGAAUAACUGAGAGAAAUCUUAGCUAAUACCGCAUAAUACCCACGGGUCAAAGCGGCAAUGCGCUUGGAGAGGAGUUCGCGGCCGAUUAGCUAGUUGGCGGGGUAAUGGCCCACCAAGGCGAUGAUCGGUA
rnacentral:rRNA from 1 species